AUGUUUGGCACUACGUUGUGUCCUGACAACAUUUGGCAAGCUUAUGUGUGGUGCUUUACGUUUUUUCCUGGAGGAGAAGAGUUUUACGCAGUGGGGAUUGCGACUGUGUGUUGGGCGAUAUGGUCUUGCAGCAAUAGAGCUACUUUCGAAUGCAAACCUCUUAAAAUCCCGUUUGAAUGCAUCUUUUCUUCUUGUGCUUUACUUUGUUACUGGGCAGGGCUGCUGAAGCAAGAGGACGCUGCAAGCAUGAGGGAUGGGGCAAAGAUGUUGAAGGAGAACGCAUCAAUGAUGAGGCCGGGUGUAUGCUCAUUAUGGUUGUAUUGUCUUGAUGCUUCAUUUUGA
rnacentral:rRNA from 1 species